GCCCUGGAACUCGCCGCGCUUCUUGCGACCCAGAAUUCCCGGGGCUGUGGAAGAGACCAUAGGCUAAACAGGAGGGGGAGCUCUGAGUAGCGCGGCGGUCUGUAUCGCUACUUGGCGUGAGUCUUUGCCAGCGUCCCCCUUCUUUUGUGAGGAAUGGGAUAUUCCGACUCCUUAAGGGCCUGGGUUGCAGGCGGUACGACCCUUUGGCUCCAUUUGUCAUGUAGGUAGGCUCUUUAGGUAUAUGGGAAUAGUAGCUAAGGGCAAGAGCGAAUAAAGAGCUCGAGCUUUAGUGGUUUCUGGGGAGAUGUUGCCGGAAAGCCUGGCUAGAGGGCGGAGGGCAGCUGUUGAGAUGGCGUGGCUCCCCGGCUCUGACGUCCACGUGGCCUUCGCGGCGGGCGCUGCCAGGUGUUGGGCAGCCUGGCAGGGUAGCGCGGGGCCGAAUCCGGCUGCCGUGGCUGAAGCUCAUGGAUCACCCCUGUGGUAGGGCCACAGUUGAAAGAGCCUGAAGUCUGCGACCCGGUUCUUAGGCCUGCCAUGGACAGUGUGCAAACCCGAGAGAACAGGAUUGCAUAACCAUUGCAGAGUGCUGAAGAUGGGGUAGCCAGGAGGUUGCAGAUUGGUGAAGGAUUCAUCAGCAUGUUUGGCAGCUUAGGAUUGGAGCCAGGAGCCUUUCAUGAGGUUUUUGAGAAUGGAGUGCAAUUUUAGGGCCGGUGGCAGCAUCUCAGCCCAAGAUGAGGUGAUAGUCCCAGACGAUGUCAGUCCCAAGGAUCAGUAGCUGCCAUCAAUUUGGAUUCUGAAAACCUUAUUAACGGGCUUCAACAUUGGAUGUAGAAACGUGCUUGCCUUACGUUAUCAGAGGACAUGCUCAGCAGAUCCAAGAUAUAUAUUUGGCAAAUUUUUCUAGAAAAGGCACAUUGGGUAUCAUUACAUUCUUGAGUUUUUUGGGUUUUGAGACAGUUUGGCUGCGAUGCCCAGGCUGGAGUGUGGUGGCACAAUGACAGCUCAUUGCAGCCUCAAUCACCCAGGCCUAAGCAAGCCUCCCGCCUCACAGCUGGGACUCCAGCUCACAGCACCACACCUGGCUAAUUAAAAAAACCCAUUUUUUUUGUUGAGAUGGAUUCACUAUGUUGCCCAGGCCAGUUCCAAGCUCCUGGGCUGAGACGGUCCUCCUGCCUCAGCCUGCUUUGUCCCUUGCCCUCCUGCCCAACAGGAGGGUCUUUGCCUUUUUUUUAAUGAAUGGACUUUGAUAAAUAGGUUAUGUUGAGCGGGCUGAGUCCUUUAAGCUGGAAAUUGUAAAUUCCUCCUGAAAUGUUUUCAUGCAGUUACCAUGAACUAAUACUACAAUAAAGGAUGGUCUUUGGUA